AGAAAAAAUACAAAAAAUUACCAGAGCUGGUGUUAAUCAAGAAACAAUUCAACCUGGAGGUAUGAAAGUUUGGUCUGAUCCUUUUGAUAGGAAAAAGAAUUAAGUUGAAUGAUAACUAAAAAUAUUGUACAUUUGUUACAUAUUAAUCAUGCUGUCUAGAGAAUGCAAUUGCAUGCAUGAAACAUCAUGCAUCUUUGUUUGUAUUAAAUUAAAGCAUGCUUGCCCUGACUAGGGUCAACAAUUUUUUUGUUGUACAUAACGUAAAUAAAAAUUAGUGUUCCUUUACUGAA